rnacentral:rRNA from 1 species
GAUGAACGCUGGCGGCGUGCCUAAUACAUGCAAGUCGAGCGAACGGACGCGAAGCUUGCUUCUCUGAUGUUAGCGGCGGACGGGUGAGUAACACGUGGAUAACCUACCUAUAAGACUGGGAUAACUUCGGGAAACCGGAGCUAAUACCGGAUGAGAUUUUGAACCGCAUGGUUCAAAAGUUAAAGACGGUCUUGCUGUCACUUAUAGAUGGAUCCGCGCUGCAUUAGCUAGUUGGUAAGGUAAAGGCUUACCAAGGCAACGAUGCGUAGCCGACCUGAGAGGGUGAUCGGCCACACUGGAACUGAGACACGGUCCAGACUCCUACGGGAGGCAGCAGUAGGGAAUCUUCGGCAAUGGGCGAAAGCCUGACGGAGCAACGCCGCGUGAGUGAAGAAGGUCUUCGGAUCGUAAAACUCUGUUAUUAGGAAAGAACAUGUGUGUAAGUAACUGUGCACAUCUUGACGGUACCUAAUCAGAAAGCCACGGCUAACUACGUG